UCGCGCCUACCAUGCAAGUCGAGCGGAUGAAGGGAGCUUGCUCCCUGAUUCAGCGGCGGACGGGUGAGUUAAUGCCUAGGAAUCUGCCUGGUAGUGGGGGACAACGUUUCGAAAGGAACGCUAAUACCGCAUACGUCCUACGGGAGAAAGCAGGGGACCUUCGGGCCUUGCGCUAUCAGAUGAGCCUAGGUCGGAUUAGCUAGUUGGUGAGGUAAUGGCUCACCAAGGCGACGAUCCGUAACUGGUCUGAGAGGAUGAUCAGUCACACUGGAACUGAGACACGGUCCAGACUCCUACGGGAGGCAGCAGUGGGGAAUAUUGGACAAUGGGCGAAAGCCUGAUCCAGCCAUGCCGCGUGUGUGAAGAAGGUCUUCGGAUUGUAAAGCACUUUAAGUUGGGAGGAAGGGCAGUAAGCUAAUACCUUGCUGUUUUGACGUUACCGACAGAAUAA
rnacentral:rRNA from 1 species